rnacentral:ncRNA from 2 species
AUCUUAUCGAGAGCGACGGAGGGACUGGCCUUACGAUGUCGCGGCAACCGGGAAGUACGAUUCGGGCAAAAGCCCACUCCCUUCCGGCAGGUGCUAAACCCAGCAUUGGAGAGGGACGCCCCUUAAAAACGGCGUCUCCGCCCGGUGAAGGAUAAGAG